UGAGGAAUAUUGGUCAAUGCCCGCAAGGGUGAUCCAGCCAUGCCGCGUGCAGGAAGACGGCCCUCUGGGUUGUAAACUGCUUUUAUUCGGGAAUAAACCACAUUACGUGUAGUGUGCUGAAUGUACCGAAGGAAUAAGGAUCGGCUAACUCCGUGCCAGCAGCCGCGGUAAUACGGAGGAUCCAAGCGUUAUCCGGAUUCACUGGGUUUAAAGGGUGUGUAGGCGGGCUUUUAAGUCAGUGGUGAAAUCUCCGAGCUCAACUCGGAAACUGCCAUUGAUACUAUUAGUCUUGAAUGUUGUUGAGGUGGGCGGAAUAUGUCAUGUAGCGGUGAAAUGCUUAGAUAUGACAUAGAACACCGAUAGCGAAGGCAGCUCACUAGGUCUGGAUUGACGCUCAGGUACGAAAGCGUGGGGAGCAAACA
rnacentral:rRNA from 1 species